GUUUUAAUUGUGUUGUAGCCGCCCAGCCAGUAUGGUGGAUAUGAACCUCGGCUUGUAACCGAUUGGCUUCGGGUUCAAAUCCCGACGAAGACA